CUCGCAGCCUACUGUGGUAUGAGUUAUAGCUUACGUGCAUGCAAAGAAAACCAAGGCAUUAGGUCGUAUGAAUAAAACCGAGUACUUGCUCAUGCUCAACCUGGCUUGAUCAAAGUAAAGUCUCUGAGCAUUUACUCAAAACCGUAUGAAUAAAACAGUACUUUGCUCAGAGUAAGUUCGAAUUUCUAACUUAGCUUUUACUCUGUCAAAAAUGUUGUUUUUGUUUUGAUUAAUCUGAUUUUUGCUACGAAGAGGAAUCCCAGCGGUAUGAAAGAAGUGCCUUCCAGGGAAUUGCCCGUCUUUUGCCGUUUGUCCGGCUGCUGAUGGAGCCAAACACCCCGAUAAAAUUGAACCAGGGACAAAUAUAAACCAUCCUAUGCCACCUGCAAGGAAUAUGAUGGACACGCAACUAAGGAUUUUGCUGCCGCAGUGUUAUGGUAACCGAUACGUUCGCAACGCUCUCAUCGGAAUUCGAACCAGCAGAUAAUUGUGCCUCCAGCGGAAAUUGUGCACAAUAGAAACCAAAAAGCAUCGACAACGCCGAUCUCUGCGAAUCGAUUUCCAUAGUUGACGAGCGUCAACACCAGCAGCAGUAAUUUAAGUUCCCUUCGGCAAAAUGGGCCCACCUCAAUAUCAACGGGAAGUCACACUGAACAAGGAAGAUGUAUGAAACCGGCAAAAACUCACGCGGACAAUUCAGCUGCAACAAGUGGAUUGGCAACAAGUGUAGGAGCCACGGAACAAAAAGACGACACCGUAGUUAAACCCACCAGUGCGAUGAGCGAACAUACCGAAAAAUAGUUGCUCAAAAGGACAGAUUGUCGGUAGAAAUAUGUCACGACCUGCUUGUUGAAAAAAUAAAUGGUUGAUGAUCCUA